rnacentral:rRNA from 1 species
GAUGAACGCUGGCGGCGUGCCUAAUACAUGCAAGUCGAGCGAACAGACGAGGAGCUUGCUCCUCUGAAGUUAGAGGCGGACAGGUGAGUAACACGUGGAUAACCUACCUAUAAGACUGGGAUAACUUCGGGAAACCGGAGCUAAUACCGGAUAAUAUAUUGAACCGCAUGGUUCAAUAGUGAAAGACGGUUUUGCUGUCACUUAUAGAUGGAUCCGCGCCGCAUUAGCUAGUUGGUAAGGUAACGGCUUACCAAGGCGACGAUGCGUAGCCGACCUGAGAGGGUGAUCGGCCACACUGGAACUGAGACACGGUCCAGACUCCUACGGGAGGCAGCAGUAGGGAAUCUUCCGCAAUGGGCGAAAGCCUGACGGAGCAACGCCGCGUGAGUGAUGAAGGUCUUCGGAUCGUAAAACUCUGUUAUUAGGGAAGAACAAAUGUGUAAGUAACUAUGCACGUCUUGACGGUACCUAAUCAGAAAGCCACGGCUAACUACGUG